rnacentral:rRNA from 1 species
UACGUAGGGGGCAAGCGUUGUCCGGAAUCAUUGGGCGUAAAGCGCGUGUAGGCGGCCCGGUAAGUCCGCUGUGAAAGUCGGGGGCUCAACCCUCGAAUGCCGGUGGAUACUGUCGGGCUAGAGUGCGGGAGAGGCGAGUGGAAUUCCUGGUGUAGCGGUGAAAUGCGCAGAUAUUGGGAAGAACACCUGAGGCGAAGGCGGGUUGCUGGGCCGACACUGACGCUGAGGCGCGAAAGCCAGGGGAGCAAACGGG